GGUGAAGUAAAUUGAGGACCUCAUCUCCUUGGCAAUGAAAACAGAUGAGCUACACAGGAACCUAUGAAUUCUUCUUGCUUAGGUUUCCUUAAGGCUAAUUGGACCUGUGCUGCAAGUCUUCACACUGUGACCUUAUCCAUAGCCAAGAUUUAGCCAUAUCAAACACUCACGGUCAUAAGUCUACUAGACAUUUUCUGAUUGCUGGUGGCUGGAAGAGACGUACUGUGGGACCUUCCAAAGUUGAGAUGGGUUGCAAGGAAGACAGAAAAUGAAGAAAAAAACCACAUUCUUCGAAUCACAGUCUUUGUCCCAAAGGCAGCACACGCCUCUGACACCCCCGUCCACUCCUCCUGCCAGCUUCGCUCUAGAGAGAAAGCUGUGAAGAUAGAAUUGACCAGACUCCAGCUAUUUUAUGCAUACAGUAGUUUGGUCCCUUAAAAUUUGAAUUAUGGACCACAUUGCUUUCUCCUGGAAAAUCUCUCAGAAGGGGAAAAGGUAUUCCAAUGACAACAUGAGUGUGAAUUUAUGUGGAGACUAAGCGGACCCAAAAGUAUUCAUUUUGAUUUUAUUGUUAGAACUAUCCGUAGAGAACUAACCACUUCAUUAGCAUGCCCCUGGCACUGGGGCGAAGAGCUGAAGUUUCAUUCUUCCGGACAUCGUGUUACUCACUUAGCCCUCUCAUCAUCGCUAAAUACACUUUCUACUCAACACAACCAGAUCCAAUGCAGUCACCUCGUCUGAGUAACACCUUAUUUUACAGACCUGACUUGCCCCAGCAAACACUUCUGGAGUGCCAAACCAGUGAUGGUUGCUACAGUUAUUUUCUCAUCUGCUCCUGUUUCAGAGGAGGAUAUGUAUCAGAAAUAAGAAAAUGGCCUGAGAAGAAACAAGAAAGAGGUGAACUGCUAAAAGCAAUGCCAACUAUGGAAAAUUAUCAGCUACCUAAAAUCUUUUAUUUCUGUUUGUGGCACAAAAGUGUGGCUCAAAGAAUCAUACUGAAAAAAGAAAUUUUAAACAAUGUUUUGGCUAGGUACAAAUAUGAAAUAAAUGUUUUGGUUGUUUCUUGCCUUCUUUUGUU
rnacentral:lncRNA from 1 species